rnacentral:lncRNA from 1 species
UUUUUUUUUCCUCAAAAAAUUGGCAGAGUUACGACAUUACUUGGGUAUUUUGUUUUUCUAAAAAUAAGUAAUUAUUUCUCUACACUGCUGUUUUUUUUCCUUUUCCUUUUUUUCAAAAUUUUCCAAUAUCCAAAGCCGGUCGACAUGCAAGUCUGAAGCAAAUAAAUGCGUAAAACAAACAGGAUGCAGCAGGAUGGUAUUUUCAUUUCAGGUUGCUUGUCCUAGACGGACCCAACCACUAUGUUGAGUCCCCUAAGCCAAAUGCACAUGAUGCAAAAAAGCAUUCCUACUAGGGAUCCAGCAUGAAUUCAAGUUAUCCUAAGUUCCAAACCUGGGUAUAUGUUCUAGAUAGUGUACCCGAGCGGACAAUUCGAGUUGAGGAAGGAGCUUCUUUCCGGGAACCAAAAGUCCAGCCGACUUGGAAACUUUCCGAGCCUCUUUCUUAUUUCAAGGUGCGAUACUAAUAGAACAGGGAGUCUUGACCAGUGAGCAUAUCCCCAAAAAUAAGAAGAGAAGGGUUUCGGCACAGUUUAUAUGUAUUGUUCAAAUAAUAUCAAAGCGGCAAAAAGCAAUCAAUUUUGCACAUUAAUCCCAAUCAUAUAUAAACUCAGAUAAUAAAUAAAGUCAAAUUCAACGAUAUUGUAAGCUUGAAUUUCCAACGCUGAACCAGUGGUUCUGGGUUUUAUCCCCAGCAGAGUUGCCAGAGCUCUCACACCUCCUUUUUACCCGCGCCGGCAAGGGCGUAAGGGAGUUAAGGUAGUUUUUCCAAAUAAAGGACAAUCGAAAUGGAAUUUGUUUAUUUAUUUCAGAGUCGUUACUUGGGAAAUUUGGUGUCCCAAGUCACCGAUUUAAUCCAUAAUAGAGGAAAAGAAUGACUAUGUAUUACAGUCUGCGAACCAGAAAUCCGGAUAAGGAAUUCUGUUAACCCGGUAGAAGGUGUUAGGCAUUCCCGAGUUCCGUGGUUUUAGCACGGUCGCUCAACUGUCAUAUUCGGCUUAUUUAUCUGAUUUUAACAAUUAUGAACUUGUAUGCAAAUUUUAACUUUUAACCGCUUUUAUUAUUAUUAUUUUUUAAAGAGAAUUGCAACAUCGUUAAAACGUGUCUCGAACCACGUAACAUCAAUGUACCCCUGGUCAUUGACACGUUCCGAUUCCAUUGAUAUUUGGAUUUGGGUAAUAUAAAUGUGCACCUGAGUUUAAGAAAGUAAAUUAUUAAAAGCGCGCCUAAAGUGACUAACACGUUAUUAUCUUGGGGGAAGGCCGUGAAAUUUUGCUAAACGGCCCAUCCUGGAGUCUAAGUAUUUAUACAACAGUUUAUAGAGGGUUUGUGCAUUUUAUUUGGCGAGGAUCCUCUCAUUUAUUUUAUUUAAGAAUAUCGUAAAACGACUAUAAUUUUUCUAUUUAUUUUUGUCUCUAAAUAUAAAGAAAAGGUCCUAAUUAAUUAACAUGCUUGAAAAGGCCCUAACUUAUUAGUUAUUAGAUUAAAAUAAAUGCAAAUGGAAAAUUGCGCUCGAACUUGUACGAAAGGAUAGUUAGUCAUAGGCUUUGGCGCAGGUCCAUACGAACACACGAAUCUGACUUGACCUGGGCCAUUCAAUGGAGUGCUAAGGCCCGAAAACCUUGUAAAUAGGAUAAUUCAUUAAACCAAAUGGAUCCGCAAUUUUAACUAUACUAAAUGCUUAUUGAAGUUACUCUACAUCAGUACAAGUGUGUUCAACAAUUCACAAUGAACAAAUUUAUCAGCUGGAACCUUUAUUCUCUACUUUUUGCCAAACUUACCCCAUUAACUUUAAAGGACUAUUUUACUUUCACAUAUUAACUAAAUUUAGAACAUCUAUCUGUGUGAGGUUACUGCAACGUGAACUAAAGCUUACACUUAUAAAAUUAUACUCACCUAACAGGAUUAAUAACCAGGCUGCGAAAGCAAUUUAAUUACCCAGGCUAAAUACUAACGGUAAUUGACUAAAUAUUCUAUCUCAUUUUAUGAACUGCCUUUAAAUUGUACAAGUGUGUUCAACAAUUUACAAUGAACGAAUUUAUCAACUUGAACCUUUAUUCUCGAGUUAUUGCCAAAAUUACCACAUUAACUGUAAAUGACUAUUUACUUUCAUGUAUUAACUAAAUUAAAAAUACCUAUCCGUGUCAGGUUAUUGAAACGUGAACUAAAGCUAACACUUGUAAAAUAAUAUCACCUAAAAGUGUUAAUAACCAAGCUGCGAAAUCAGUUUAAUUACCAGGCUGAGUACUAAUGGUAAUUGACUAAAUGUUCUAUCUCAUUUUAUGGACUGUCUUUAAACAUAUAUAUUAAGAAAACAUAUAAUAUGAGAUUAAUUAUAAUUAACGUGAUCUAAUCUACUAACCUAACAACGUCUACAACUAGCACUCCACAUGUAAAAUAGACAUAUUGAAUAUGAGAUACAACAGUUUAUAGUCCAUUUGAUGAAAAACGAAAUAAAAGAAAAUUCCGAGAACUAUGAAUUUAAAUGCUAAAACUGAAAUCCAGAAUCAACGCAUUGCUGCACAUUUUCAUUUCACUUUCUCCACUGGGAUUUCUACAUUUAAAUGAAAAAGGAACUGUACCUGAAAAUGUUUACAAUGGGAGGAAAGGAAGAUCAACAGCAGCAAUACAAUAUUAGUUCCAACAACAAUACAACAGCAGGCAACAAGUUAGGUUCAAACCAAUAACAACACCCAAAUUCAAACCAGAAACAACCCAAACCGGGUAUGGAGAGACUUGUAAAACACAUCAGUAAUAACCAACACCCAAUAGACUGGACUGAACUUGAACUAGAUCAGAAAAGGACCAACAGAUAUAAGAAGAAGUUACGGGGAGUUGAACUUAGACUGAUUAAACUCUUCCAAUUUUUAGACUCUCCAAACUUAUUGUUUCUUUAUCAAAGACUUAUACUAUUAUCAAAUGUGACCUCUCAAAGAUGAUUUAAAAAAAAAAACAUCCCCUUUAAUGUCUCAAAAAUGUUCAAUCCCUCAAAGUCCAUCUUCAGAAUCUAUGUUUUCGACUCUCUACUCUUACUGCUAGUUCUAGUCCCCUUAAUGUCUCCAAAUCAAUAUAUUUUAACCCAAACUCCUUUUCCUCUUCGGCCCUUCUUUUUCUUUUACAGUUGUAAAAGAAAACCUUUUAUCAUUACCCCCUCAUCCGUUUUACUUUUCAGCUUUAUAUAUUCUUGUAUUAUGUGAACACUUUUAGCUUUUUUCAUUAUUAUUCCCCUCUUUUUACUUUUCAAACCCCCUUUUCCUUUAUUUACAUAAUUAUAUCAUCUUCCCCACUAAUCCUUUCUUUUCUUUAUCUAAACAAUCCCUUUAGACUUCCCCAUUAUGUCUUGUUCUUUACGUUUCUUAAAUAAUUCAUUAUUUUAAUGUUAUAUUAGUACUACUGGACAAAACACUCAAAUUAAAUAAUUUUGUAAGUUUUCAAUUCCCAUAUUAUCCCUGAAACUACUGAAAUUACUAUCCUACCCCAAUUCCCUUUCAAUCGGUACAAACCUCAAAUGAGCUAUAACCAAUUCACCUAUUGGUAACCAGUUAACAACAAUGAGGUAGAAUGUUAAAUGAUUAGAGUAGAAUAACGAAUUUCCAACCUAAACCCAAAUCAUAAAACAAAAAUAACUCCAAUUUAGAUUCUACGGGACACAACCCACACCAAUUUAAUCAGAUUCAACUAAACUAUUGAAUAGGAUAACCAAAUCUAAUUUAAUCAAAUUCAACUUGUGAAAGUAUUCAAACAAUCCAUACCAAAUAGUGCAAAUUUCAAAACUCAUAUCAUCAAAUCCAUGUAAAAGAAAUUAAAAGUUGAUAGGAAAGAAUUGAACUUAGGGUCCAAUUAAUGAGAGUUUUCAACUUUACAACUUUUGGAUGUAAGAAUGGUUGUGGCAAACAAUACGACUCAAGCUUGGACCACAGAUGCGAGACAGACCCCCAAACCGAAAACAAUGAGCAAUGAUCUCAAACAGAAAUGGAGCAAGCCUUUGACGGCCAAAACAGUGGUUGGAAUCCUCAGCGGAACUACGACCCAUAGGCCGGAAACGUGACAACAUUCAACGACGGACCUCGUAUCGGCAACCAAAAUCAACAGACUCCCAGACCUCAAGCAAACACCAUGGUUUUUGAAUCCAAAACCGAGAUCAACUGAAGGAAAAUCAGAAACUCUUUCAUAUAUGUAUAUCCUCAGUUUUUACCCCUUUUCACGUUCUUGUUUUGUUCCCUUUUUUUCGUUACUUUGUUCUGUUAUGAAGAAGGAGCAAGCAAAUAUGGUGGUCGUUUUUGUUGGUUGAAGAAGACGACUGUGUGCGUGUGUGUUGUGGUGGCUUGGGAGUGGAGUUGGUGAGGGGUGUUCGUGAGGAUGUCGAAGAAGAAAACGAUACAGCAGAAGGGGGUCGUUUUAUGGCUGGACUUUGGCAGACUGUUGGUCGUUUCUUCAUCGAAGAAGAUGAGGAGGGGCGGUGGGCGUUAGGGCUGGGUGGUGUCAAGAAGACGAUGCAGCAGGGGGCGGACGUUUAGUGGUCUGAUUGAUUUUAGGGUUAGGGAAAUGAAAUAAAAAAUGAGAGGGGGGUCGUUUAGGUUAUGUGCUGGGGCG